UCCUAUCCUUGCACGCACACGCAAACGCAUCCCAUCCUGUCCUCGCGUUACUACUAGUUAGUUAGAGAGAGACAGAGAGGAUCGAUCUGCUGGCGGCGUCUAAGCUGGAGAAAGGCGGCGCCACCGCCGAGGGCGACGAGAUAGGCAUCGACCCAGCGGCGGAGACUCCGGAGCAGCGCAACAAGUUCCUGGUCCUCCGCCUGUACGAGGCGCUCAACGCCCGGGACCACGCCGCCGUGCAGUCGCUGCUGGCGCCCGACCUGGAGUGGUGGUUCCAUGGCCCGCCCAAGCACCAGCAGCACAUGAUGCGCCUCCUGACCACCACCACCACCACCACCACCACCGGCAGCUUCCGCUUCGUGCCCCGCUCCGUGGACGCCCUCGCCGCCUCGUCCGGCACCGUGAUCGCCGAGGGCCACGAGAGGGGUUGCUACUGGGUGCACGCCUGGACCGUGGGACCCGAUGGGGUGAUCACCCAGCUCCGUGAGUACUUCAACACCGACCUCACCGUCACCCGCCUCGCCGCCGCCGUCGCCGCCAAGUGCGUCUGGCAGAGCCGCCGCCCCGACAGCGCCACCAACUCCCUGCCGGGACUCCUGCUCGCCCUCUGAUCACUCUGAGGGAUAAAUUAAAUACCAUCUCUAUCUAUAUACUACGUAUCAUCCUUGUCGUCGUCAGUCAGUCAGUGCAACCGUGUGUAUGUAUGUAUCUACGUACGUAUUGUAUUUGUAUCCCAUCCAUGGCCGUAUGUCACUAUUAUAUAUAUACAGUAUAUCUCAUC